UACGUAGGUGGCAAGCGUUGUCCGGAUUUACUGGGCGUAAAGAGCGCGCAGGCGGUCGUUCAAGUCGCGUGUGAAAGCCCCCGGCUCAACUGGGGAGGGUCACGCGAUACUGAUCGACUCGAAGGCAGGAGAGGGUAGUGGAAUUCCCGGUGUAGUGGUGAAAUGCGUAGAUAUCGGGAGGAACACCAGUGGCGAAGGCGGGACUCUGGGCCGAUACUGACGCUGAGGAGCGAAAGCGUGGGGAGCAAACAGG
rnacentral:rRNA from 1 species